rnacentral:lncRNA from 1 species
UUAUUCGAUUUAUACAGCUUAUUAAGUGUAUGCUUAUAUUAUAUUAUUUACAUGAUGUCUGUUAGAUGUGACUUGAAAUUUUGGUUAAGAGACUUCGAUUUUGUACUCUUUAUUCGUCGACAGCUUCAUAGUGCUACAAAUUUGAAAAAGAAUUUGUGAAGAAAAAAUUGGAUGAUGGUGGUGGGUAUAUAUAGAUCGGAUCCGAUAAUGAAAAAACUGUAGUACAUUGGAUUUUUAUUAUAAAAACAAGUGCAAAUAAAAAUAGUAUGAUACUAUUUUUGUUGAACUUGAUGAAGUGCAAGAUAAUUUGGAAAUGAUUUGAGUUAUUGAUCGAAGCGAGCCGAAUUUAGAUUUCGAGGG